rnacentral:rRNA from 1 species
AAAUUGAAGAGUUUGAUCAUGGCUCAGAUUGAACGCUGGCGGCAGGCCUAACACAUGCAAGUCGAACGGUAACAGGAAGCAGCUUGCUGCUUGGCUGACGAGUGGCGGACGGGUGAGUAAUGUCUGGGAAACUGCCUGAUGGAGGGGGAUAACUACUGGAAACGGUAGCUAAUACCGCAUAACGUCGCAAGACCAAAGAGGGGGACCUUCGGGCCUCUUGCCAUCGGAUGUGCCCAGAUGGGAUUAGCUAGUAGGUGGGGUAACGGCUCACCUAGGCGACGAUCCCUAGCUGGUCUGAGAGGAUGACCAGCCACACUGGAACUGAGACACGGUCCAGACUCCUACGGGAGGCAGCAGUGGGGAAUAUUGCACAAUGGGCGCAAGCCUGAUGCAGCCAUGCCGCGUGUAUGAAGAAGGCCUUCGGGUUGUAAAGUACUUUCAGCGGGGAGGAAGGUGUUGAGGUUAAUAACCUCAGCAAUUGACGUUACCCGCAGAAGAAGCACCGGCUAACUCCGUGCCAGCAGCCGCGGUAAUACGGAGGGUGCAAGCGUUAAUCGGAAUUACUGGGCGUAAAGCGCACGCAGGCGGUCUGUCAAGUCGGAUG